rnacentral:rRNA from 1 species
UACACUCCUACGGGAGGCAGCAGUAGGGAAUCUUCGGCAAUGGACGAAAGUCUGACCGAGCAACGCCGCGUGAGUGAAGAAGGUUUUCGGAUCGUAAAACUCUGUUGUUAGAGAAGAACAAGGAUGAGAGUAGAACGUUCAUCCCUUGACGGUAUCUAACCAGAAAGCCACGGCUAACUACGUGCCAGCAGCCGCGGUAAUACGUAGGUGGCAAGCGUUGUCCGGAUUUAUUGGGCGUAAAGCGAGCGCAGGCGGUUUCUUAAGUCUGAUGUGAAAGCCCCCGGCUCAACCGGGGAGGGUCAUUGGAAACUGGGAGACUUGAGUGCAGAAGAGGAGAGUGGAAUUCCAUGUGUAGCGGUGAAAUGCGUAGAUAUAUGGAGGAACACCAGUGGCGAAGGCGGCUCUCUGGUCUGUAACUGACGCUGAGGCUCGAAAGCGUGGGGAGCGAACAGGAUUAGAAACCCUGGUAGUCCCA